rnacentral:rRNA from 1 species
GUUAAAGCCUUGGGUUGUAAGUACUUUCAGCGGGGAGGAGGGAGUAAAGUUAAUACCUUUGCUCAUUGACGUUACCCGCAGAAGAAGCACCGGCUAACUCCGUGCCAGCAGCCGCGGUAAUACGGAGGGUGCAAGCGUUAAUCGGAAUUACUGGGCGUAAAGCGCACGCAGGCGGUUUGUUAAGUCAGAUGUGAAAUCCCCGGGCUCAACCUGGGAACUGCAUCUGAUACUGGCAAGCUUGAGUCUCGUAGAGGGGGGUAGAAUUCCAGGUGUAGCGGUGAAAUGCGUAGAGAUCUGGAGGAAUACCGGUGGCGAAGGCGGCCCCCUGGACGAAGACUGACGCUCAGGUGCGAAAGCGUGGGGAGCAAACAGGAUUAGAUACCCUGUAGUCCAUUUUUUUUUUU